rnacentral:tRNA from 2 species
GCCUUUGUAGCAUAAUGGAAGUGCGUUGCCCUCCUAAGGCAACGGUCUGGGUUCGAUCCCCGGUAGAGGCU